GUGUUCACUUCUGUAGCAUAUAUACUAAAACUGGAACAAUACAGAGAAGAUCAGCAUGGCUCCUGUACUAGGAUUGCACUCAAAUUCGUGAAGCGGUCCAUGCUUUU
ensembl:snRNA U6 U6 spliceosomal RNA